rnacentral:rRNA from 1 species
GCGAUUUCCGAAUGGGGAAACCCAGUGUGUUUCGACACACUAUCAUUAACUGAAUCCAUAGGUUAAUGAGGCGAACCGGGGGAACUGAAACAUCUAAGUACCCCGAGGAAAAGAAAUCAACCGAGAUUCCCCCAGUAGCGGCGAGCGAACGGGGAGCAGCCCAGAGCCUGAAUCAGUAUGUGUGUUAGUGGAAGCGUCUGGAAAGGCGCGCGAUACAGGGUGACAGCCCCGUACACAAAAAUGCACAUGCUGUGAGCUCGAUGAGUAGGGCGGGACACGUGGUAUCCUGUCUGAAUAUGGGGGGACCAUCCUCCAAGGCUAAAUACUCCUGACUGACCGAUAGUGAACCAGUACCGUGAGGGAAAGGCGAAAAGAACCCCGGCGAGGGGAGUGAAAAAGAACCUGAAACCGUGUACGUACAAGCAGUGGGAGCACGCUUAGG